GACGAACGCUGGCGGCGUGCCUAACACAUGCAAGUCGAACGGAGAUUUCAGCAAUGAAAUCUUAGUGGCGAACGGGUGAGUAACGCGUAGACAACCUGCCUUUUAGAUGGGGACAACACCGCGAAAGUGGUGCUAAUACCGAAUGUUGUAUUUUAAUCGCAUGAUUGAGAUACUAAAGAUGGCCUCUGUAUAUGCUAUCGCCAAAAGAUGGGUCUGCGACUGAUUAGCUAGUUGGUGAGGUAAUGGCUCACCAAGGCGACGAUAAGUAGCCGGUCUGAGAGGAUGAACGGCCACACGGGGACUGAGACACGGCCCAGACUCCUACGGGAGGCAGCAGUGGGGAAUCUUCCGCAAUGGACGAAAGUCUGACGGAGCAACGCCGCGUGAGUGAAGAAGGUUUUCGGAUCGUAAAACUCUGUUUUCAGGGACGAAUGUGCAGCUUGCAAAUAAUGAGUUGUAAUGACGGUACCUGAGUAGAAAGCCACGGCUAACUACGUGCCAGCCGCCGCCGUAA
rnacentral:rRNA from 1 species